rnacentral:rRNA from 1 species
AGAUUGAACGCUGGCGGCAUGCCUUACACAUGCAAGUCGAACGGCAGCACGGGGGGUAACCCCUGGUGGCGAGUGGCGAACGGGUGAGUAAUAUAUCGGAACAUGCCCUGUAGCGGGGGAUAACGCGUCGAAAGAUGUGCUAAUACCGCAUACGCUCUACGGAGGAAAGCGGGGGUUUUCGGGCAACUGAGGACCUCGCACUAUAGGAGUGGCCGAUAUCGGAUUAGCUAGUUGGCGGGUAAAGCCCACCAAGGCGACGAUCCGUAGCUGGUCUGAGAGGAUGAUCAGCCACACUGGAACUGAGACACGUCCAGAC